ACUGUACAUAUACUGGACAAUUCGAUUCCAUAGGCUUCAAUAACACGUUAUCUGUCCAUAAUGGGAGGUGUCCACCACCGCCAUUUUGACCGUGUCACAGGUUCCGUCCAGCCCAGACAAUUCCAUAAAAGGGAAGAGAGGAGGCGCUGAGGGUGUGGCUGUAAGGCUGGGCUCGAGUGACGACACCCAGGCGAACUAGCUACGAGCUAACCUGAAGCUAACCCUGGCUAACCCAAAGCUAAAGCGGAGGUGGGAGCCGAGCUAACGGAUGUAGCCACCUAGCUUCAACCCAACCGGAGCUAACUGGAACACCCAUCGACCUGAACCUCACACGGAGUUUAGGUGGAGGUUUUCUGCGCCUGUUCGUGAGAAGUACCUGUAUUAAAAAAGUUUUAAAUCGCCAUUUGGAUCAUUGGGGACAGCUGAGUGAGGCGUGGUGCCCAGAGAGCUGCAGAGACAACCUUGGCCUCCCUGACGUCUGUGUCUCUUGGUUUGGUUGGGGCGGACCAUCGACAUACAUACAUGUGCCGACACUUUGCGCCCUGUUUUAUAAACUGUAGUGUUAAAAAUAAAUGUUUUUGCUCAA